GGGGAAUCUUGCACAAUGGGGGAAACCCUGAUGCAGCGACGCCGCGUGAGCGAUGAAGCCCUUCGGGGUGUAAAGCUCUUUCGACGGGGAMGAUAAUGACGGUACCYGSAGAAGAAGCUGCGGCUAACUACGUGCCAGCAGCCGCGGUAAUACGUAGGCAGCGAGCGUUGUUCGGAAUUACUGGGCGUAAAGAGUGUGUAGGCGGUKUUCUMAGUYUGUUGUGAAAUCUCCCGGCUUAACUGGGAGGGUGCRSCGRAAACUGGAAUGCUAGAGGGUGGGAGAGGWAAGCGGAAUUCCUGGUGUAGCGGUGAAAUGCGUAGAUAUCAGGAGGAACACCKGUGGUGUAGACRGCUUUCUGGACCAUUUCUGACGCUGAGACACGAAAGCGUGGGUAGCAAACAGGAUUAGAUACCCUGGUAGUCCACGCCCUAAACGAUGCAUAYUUGGUGUGAGCGAUUCAUUUCGUYCGUGCCGGAGCUAACGCGUUAAAUAUGCCGCCUGGGGAGUACGGUCGCAAGGCUGAAACUC
rnacentral:rRNA from 1 species